rnacentral:rRNA from 1 species
UGGGGAAUAUUGGACAAUGGGCGAAAGCCUGAUCCAGCAAUGCCGCGUGAGUGGUGAAGGCCUUAGGGUUGUAAAGCUCUUUUACCCGGGAUGAUAAUGACAGUACCGGGAGAAUAAGCCCUGGCUAACUCCGUGCCAGCAGCCGCGGUAAUACGGAGGGGGCUAGCGUUGUUCGGAAUUACUGGGCGUAAAGCGUACGUAGGCGGCUUUGUAAGUUAGAGGUGAAAGCCCGGGGCUUAACCCCGGAAUUGCCUUUAAGACUGCAUCGCUUGAAUCAUGGAGAGGUGAGUGGAAUUCCGAGUGUAGAGGUGAAAUUCGUAGAUAUUCGGAAGAACACCAGUGGCGAAGGCGACUCACUGGACAUGUAUUGACGCUGAGGUACGAAAGCGUGGGGAGCAAACAGG